rnacentral:rRNA from 1 species
UGGCCUUGACAUACUAAGAACUUUCCAGAGAUGGAUUGGUGCCUUCGGGAACUUAGAUACAGGUGCUGCGUGGCUGUCGUCAGCUCGUGUCGUGAGAUGUUGGGUUAAGUCCCGCAACGAGCGCAACCCUUUUCCUUAUUUGCCAGCGGGUCAUGCCGGGAACUUUAAGGAUACUGCCAGUGACAAACUGGAGGAAGGCGGGGACGACGUCAAGUCAUCAUGGCCCUUACGGCCAGGGCUACACACGUGCUACAAUGGUCGGUACAAAGGGUUGCUACCUCGCGAGAGGAUGCUAAUCUCAAAAAGCCGAUCGUAGUCCGGAUCGCAGUCUGCAACUCGACUGCGUGAAGUCGGAAUCGCUAGUAAUCGCGGAUCAGAAUGCCGCGGUGAAUACGUUCCCGGGCCUUGUACACACCGCCCGUCACACCAUGGGAGUUUGUUGCACCAGAAGUAGGUAGUCUAACCGCAAGGAGGACGCUUACCACGGUGUGGCCGAUGACUGGGGUGAAGUCGUAACAAGGUAAGCGUAGAUGA